GGGGGUGUAGCUCAGUUGGUUAGAGCGCUGGCCUGUCACGCCAGAGGUCGCGGGUUCGAGUCCCGUCACUCCCG
rfam:Rhizobiales bacterium TMED168 82694, whole genome shotgun sequence.